ACUCAAAUGAAUAGACGGGGGCCCGCACAAGCGGUGGAGCAUGUGGAUUAAUUCGUCAUUAACCGAAGAACCUUACCAGGGUUUGACAUCCCCGGACCGCCGGUGAAAGCCGGUUUUCCUCUGGGAAACCAGGGGACUGGGAGACAGGUGUUGCAUGGCUGUCGUCAGCUCGUGUCGUGAGAUGUUGGGUUAAGUCCCGCAACGAGCGCAACCCUCACUGCCGGUUGCCAGCACGCAAGGUGGGCACUUUGGCAGAACUGCCCCGGCAACGGGGAGGAAGGUGGGGAUGACGUCAAGUCGGCAUGGCCCGUAUAUCCUGGGCUUCACACAUGCUACAAUGGGGAGGACAGAGGGCUGCGAGACCGUGAGGUGGAGCCAAUCCCACAAACCUCUCCCCAGUUCGGAUUGGAGGCUGCAACUCGCCUCCAUGAAGUCGGAAUCGCUAGUAACCGCCGGUCAGCAAAACGGCGGUGAAUACGUACCCGGGCCUUGCACACACCGCCCGU
rnacentral:rRNA from 1 species